GACGAACGCUGGCGGCGUGCUUAACACAUGCAAGUCGAACGGAAAGGCCCUGCUUUUGUGGGGUGCCCGAGUGGCGAACGGGUGAGUAACACGUGAGUAACCUGCCCUUGACUUUGGGAUAACUUCAGGAAACUGGGGCUAAUACCGGAUAGGAGCUCCUGCUGCAUGGUGGGGGUUGGAAAGUUUCGGCGGUUGGGGAUGGACUCGCGGCUUAUCAGCUUGUUGGUGGGGUAGUGGCUGACCAAGGCUUUGGCGGGUAGCCGGCCUGGGAGGGUGACCGGCCACAAGGGUACUGAGGUACGGCCCAGACUCCUACGGGAGGCAGCGGUGGGGAGUAUUGCACAAUGGGCGGAAGCCUGAUGCGGCGACGCCGCGUGCGGGAUGACGGCCUUCGUGUUAUAAACCGCUUUCGCCUGUGACGAAGCGUUAGUGACGGUAAUGGGUAAAGAAGCACCGGCUAACUACGUG
rnacentral:rRNA from 1 species